CAGCAAACCAGCUAAGAACAAAAGUAGGUUAACAAAAGCUUGUAUUAAUUUAUUGAUGAGAGUUGAAAAGGAAGAAAAAGAUUAUGACGUUUAAGGAAUGGUACUGAAUUACUAGGUUUCUUGGAGGAACUCCGCUAUGCUGUUCAACAAAAACCUGUGCUUACUUGCUCACUUUUAACCCCACUUGGAUAGAUGGUCCAGAAAAUCUAGCUUUUUCCAUUGUCCCAUCCAAAACUAUUUAUUCAGUACCUACUUCUUGCUGAGCACUAUAGAGCUGGUGGCCUAUAAUUUGGCAAGCAGAUGGCAUCUUGAGCAAAGAAAAGAGAUAUAUCACAACACACAGCUGGGGCAAACGAAGGAACCUGGGAGCCAGCAGGAGAACACAAUGCCACCCAUAAUAUGUACCUGCGAUCUGCCCAACAUUUUCAGGUGGUGAUGAAGAAACUGUGUUUGAUGCUCACGGGUAUGGGCCUCCAUCACUAGACAACCACCGCACCAUGGUGGGGACAAGCAUGGACUUGGGUACAGACGACCGAGGGGUACAUUACCUCUGCUUCCUUGGCUAUCAGAAGAGGUAGCAACAAAACCUGGGCCUGCUUGUCAUUUGGGAUGGGCUCCAAGUAAAAUAAUUACUGCAUAAUGCAUAGCAC
ensembl:lncRNA